UUUUGAAGACGUUCCUUGAGGGGAUUUGAAAAAAGAAUGCAAAUCACUCUGAAUGGGAGGACUUAUAAUCCAUGACUCUGAGAUGGAUGGUCUCUCUUCUACGGAACAUAAACAUUGUGAUCUGGUGGCCACCUUAAUAACCAUGAGGACUGCUCACCUAAGGACAAAGCCAAAAGAAUCCUUCCUAUCUGAUGAUGCUGUUCCUGUUUAACCUGAGGAGUCCUCAAUGAUCUCACAUGGAAUGGUUUUACAAGG